AACGGACGCUGGCGGCAUGCCUAACACAUGCAAGUCGAACGAGAUCUUCGGGUCUAGUGGCGCACGGGUGCGUAACGCGUGGGAAUCUGCCCUUUGGUUCGGAAUAACAGUUGGAAACGACUGCUAAUACCGGAUGAUGACGAAAGUCCAAAGAUUUAUCGCCAGAGGAUGAGCCCGCGUAGGAUUAGCUAGUUGGUGUGGUAACGGCGCACCAAGGCGACGAUACUUAGCUGGUCUGAGAGGAUGAUCAGCCACACUGGGACUGAGACACGGCCCAGACUCCUGCGGGAGGUGGCAGUGGGUAAUAUUGGACAAUGGGCGAAAGCUUGAUCCAGCAAUGCCGCGUGAGUGAUGAAGGCCUUAGGGUUGUAAAGCUCUUUUACCCGGGAUGAUAAUGACAGUACCGGGAGAAUAAGCUCCGGCUAACUCCGUGCCUGCCGCCGCAGUAA
rnacentral:rRNA from 1 species